rnacentral:rRNA from 1 species
UGGGGGAUUUUGCACAAUGGGCGCAAGCCUGAUGCAGCGACGCCGCGUGAGGGAUGAAGGCCUUCGGGUUGUAAACCUCUUUCGCUGGGUUGAAAGGCCAUGCUUUGGGUGUGGUUGAUUUGAACUGGUAAAGAAGUACCGGCUAACUACGUGCCAGCAGCCGCGGUAAUACGUAGGGUACUAGCGUUGUCCGGAUUUAUUGGGCGUAAAGGGCUUGUAGGUGGUUUGUCGCGUCUGUCGUGAAAUCCUGUGGCUUAACUAUGGGCUUGCGGUGGGUACGGGCAGGCUUGAGUGCGGUAGGGGAGACUGGAAUUCCUGGUGUAGCGGUGGAAUGCGCAGAUAUCAGGAGGAACACCGGUGGCGAAGGCGGGUCUCUGGGCCGUUACUGACACUGAGGAGCGAAAGCGUGGGGAGCGAACAGG